UACGUAGGGGGCGAGCGUUGUCCGGAUUUAUUGGGCGUAAAGAGCGUGUAGGCGGUUCGGUAAGUCUGUCGUGAAAUCUCCACGCUCAACGUGGAGGCGCCACGUGAGACUGCUGUGACUCGAGUCCGGUAGGGGAGCGUGGAAUUCCCGGUGUAGCGGUGAAAUGCGCAGAGAUCGGGAGGAACACCCGUAGCGAAGGCGGCGCUCUGGGCCGGUACUGACGCUGAGGAGCGAAAGCGUGGGGAGCAAACAGG
rnacentral:rRNA from 1 species